CAUGCUGUCUAAGUAUAAGUGUUAUACAGCGAAACUGCGAAUGGCUCAUUAAAACAGUUAUAGUUUAUUUGAUAAUCGAAUUUACAUGGAUAACCGUGGUAAUUCUAGAGCUAAUACAUGCUGGUAUGCCCGACUUUUGCGGAAGGGCGGUAUUUAUUAGAUAACAAGCCAAUAUUCCUCUGGUCUAUUGUGGUGACUCAUAAUAACUGAUCGAAUCGCAAGGCCUUUGGCCGCGAUAAAUCAUUCAAGUUUCUGCCCCAUCAGCUUUCGAUGGUAGUGUAUUGGACUACCAUGGCGUUUACGGGUAACGGAGGAUUAGGGUUCGAUUCCGGAGAGGGAGCCUGAGAAACGGCUACCACAUCUAAGGAAGGCAGCAGGCGCGUAAAUUACCCAAUCCUGACUCAGGGAGGUAGUGACAAGAAAUAACGGACCGGUUCCUUCGGAUUCGGGAUUGCAAUGAGCCGAAUUUACACCCCUUAGCGAGGAUCGAUUGGAGGGAA
rnacentral:rRNA from 1 species